CUACGGGGCGCUCCAGUGAGGAAUAUUGCGCAAUGGCCGAAAGGCUGACGCAGCAACGCCGCGUGAGGGAUGAAGCUUCUAGGAGCGUAAACCUCUGUUAGAAGGGACGAAAGAGUUGUAAUCAAAUAGAUUAUGGCAUUGACGGUACCUUCAGAGAAAGCCCCGGCUAACUCCGUGCCAGCAGCCGCGGUAACACGGGGGGGGCAAGUGUUGUCCGGAAUUAUUGGGCGUAAAGGGCACGUAGGCGGGACAAUAAGUUGGAGGUGAAAACCUGCGGCUUAACCGGAAGCCUGCCUUGAAUACUGGUGGUCUUGAGUUCGGAAGAGGGAAGUGGAAUUCCUGGUGUAGCGGUGAAAUGCGUAGAUAUCAGGAAGAACACCGGUGGCGAAGGCGGCUUCCUGGUCCGAUACUGACGCUGAUGUGCGAAAGCGUGGGGAGCGAACAGGAUUAGAUACCCCUGUAGUC
rnacentral:rRNA from 1 species